CGCGCUGCGAGGUAAGGGGGCAGGCGCGCUGGGAGGUAAGGGGGCAGGCGCGCUGCGAGGUAAGGGGGCAGGCGCGCUGGGAGGUAAGGGGGCAGGCGCGCUGCGAGGUAAGGGGGCAGGCGCGCUGCGAGGUAAGGGGGCAGGCGCGCUGCGAGGUAAGGGGGCAGGCGCGCUGGGAGGUAAGGGGGCAGGCGCGCUGGGAGGUAAGGGGGCAGGCGCGCUGGGAGGUAAGGGGGCAGGCAGGAGGCAAGUUUCCAUUCCUGUGAACUGGGAAUCUAUGUGCCUUUUGGAACCCAGCUGUUUUUAUUUCUUGGGUCAAGGUACAACCUGCUUUAUCUGGCCCUGCCUACGAGGGAUGCCCCAGGUUCACCAAUCAAAACAAAUAAAAACUAAAAAUGAGGUUGGUUGGGGAGGAAGGGGGCUGGGAGAUGGGAGAUAAUAGUUAAAGAGUAUGGGGUUUCUUUCUUAGGUGAUGACAAUAUUUAAAAUUGACUGUGGUGAUAGUUACACAUAUUUGUGAAUAUACUAAAGACCACUGAAUUCUAUACUUUAAAUGGUAGAUUGUCCCAGCACUUUGAGAGACUGAGGCAGGAGGAUUGCUUGAGCCCAUGAGUUCUAGACCAGCCUAGGCAACAUAGCAAGAUCCUGUGUCUAUGUUUAAAAAUUAGUUAAGACAUGGUGGCACAUUCCUACAGUCCCAGCUACUCAGGAGGCUGAGGUGGGAGGACUGCUUGAGCCCAGGAGUUCGAGGCUGCAGUGAGCUAUGAUCAUGUCGCUACAGUGAGUCACUGCACUCCAGCACGGGUGACGGAAUGAGAUCCUGUCUCUAGAAAAUGGGGGAGGUGGGAGUGAACUGGAGAGUAUGUGAAUUACAUCUCAAUCAAGCUGUUAUACAUAUAU
rnacentral:lncRNA from 10 species